CCCGCAACGAGCGCAACCCUUAUCCUUUGUUGCCAGCACUACGGGUGGGAACUCAAAGGAGACUGGCGGUGAUAAACCGGAAGAAGGGGGGGAUGACGUCAAGUCAUCAUGGGCCUUACGAGUAGGGCUACACACGUGCUACAAUGGCGUAUACAAAGAGAAGCAAACUCGCGAGAGCCAGCGGACCUCAUAAAGUACGUCGUAGUCCGGAUUGGAGUCUGCAACUCGACUCCAUGAAGUCGGAAUCGCUAGUAAUCGUAGAUCAGAAUGCUACGGUGAAUACGUU
rnacentral:rRNA from 1 species